GAUGGAGCAGUCUGGUAGCUCGUCGGGCUCAUAACCCGAAGGUCGUCGGUUCAAAUCCGGCUCCCGCAACCA
rnacentral:tRNA from 1 species